rnacentral:rRNA from 1 species
UACGUAGGGUGCGAGCGUUAAUCGGAAUUACUGGGCGUAAAGCGUGCGCAGGCGGUUUUGUAAGCCAGAUGUGAAAUCCCCGGGCUUAACCUGGGAAUGGCAUUUGGGACUGCAAGGCUUGAGUGCGGCAGAGGGAGACUGGAAUUCCUGGUGUAGCAGUGAAAUGCGUAGAUAUCAGGAGGAACACCGAUGGCGAAGGCAGGUCUCUGGGCUGACACUGACGCUCAUGCACGAAAGCGUGGGGAGCGAA